rnacentral:rRNA from 1 species
GACGAACGCUGGCGGCGUGCCUAAUACAUGCAAGUAGAACGCACAGUUUAUACCGUAGCUUGCUACACCAUAGACUGUGAGUUGCGAACGGGUGAGUAACGCGUAGGUAACCUGCCUGGUAGCGGGGGAUAACUAUUGGAAACGAUAGCUAAUACCGCAUAAUAUUAAUUAUUGCAUGAUAAUUGAUUGAAAGAUGCAACUGCACCACUACCAGAUGGACCUGCGUUGUAUUAGCUAGUAGGUGAGGUAACGGCUCACCUAGGCGACGAUACAUAGCCGACCUGAGAGGGUGAUCGGCCACACUGGGACUGAGACACGGCCCAGACUCCUACGGGAGGCAGCAGUAGGGAAUCUUCGGCAAUGGACGAAAGUCUGACCGAGCAACGCCGCGUGAGUGAAGAAGGUUUUCGGAUCGUAAAGCUCUGUUGUAAGAGAAGAACGGGUGUGAGAGUGGAAAGUUCACACUGUGACGGUAUCUUACCAGAAAGGGACGGCUAACUACGUG